rnacentral:snoRNA from 1 species
GGCCUCUUGGAGCUAACUAAUAGGCUGUGUUCUUACACUAACUGUGUAAAAAGAGGAGAAAAAGAAUGCCAGGUACACUUCAGCCUAGGCCCUGUGCCUGGUCUGAAUUGUGAAUGGGGAAACAUGG